AUUGAACGCUAGCGGGAUGCCUUACACAUGCAAGUCGAACGGAGUGGCGAACGGGUGAGUAAUGUAUCGGAAUGUGCCCAGUAGCGGGGGCUAACUACGCGAAAGCGUAGCUAUUACCGCUUACUAUUGGAGCGGCAGCUAUCGGAUUAGCUUGAUGGGGGGGUAAUGGCUCACCAAGGCGACGAUCCGUAGCCGGUCUGAGAGGACGACCAGCAACACUGGGACUGAGACACGGCCCAGACUCCUACGGGAGGCAGCAGUGGGGAAUUUUGGACAAUGGGGGAAACCCUGAUCCAGCCAUCCCGCGUGUGCGAUGAAGGCCUUCGGGUUGUAAAGCACUUUUGGCAGGGAAGCGGUAUCUGCAGAAUAAGCACCGGCUAACUACGUGCCAGCAGCCGCGGUAAUAC
rnacentral:rRNA from 1 species